rnacentral:misc_RNA from 1 species
GAUGAAGAACGUAGCGAAAUGCGAUAAGUAAUGUGAAUUGCAGAAUUCAGUGAAUCAUCGAAUCUUUGAACGCACAUUGCGCCCGCCAGUAUUCUGGCGGGCAUGCCUGUUCGAGCAUCAUUACAACCCUCAGGCCCCCGGGCCUGGCGUUGGGGAUCGGCGGAAGCCCCCUGUGGGCACACGCCGUCCCUCAAAUACAGUGGCGGUCCCGCCGCAGCUUCCAUUGCGUAGUAGCUAACACCUCGCAACUGGAGAGCGGCGCGGCCAUGCCGUAAAACACCCAACUUCUGAAUGUUGACCUCGAAUCAGGUAGGAAUACCCGCUGAACUUAAGCAUAUCAAUAAGCGGAGGA